rnacentral:rRNA from 1 species
ACAGAGGGUGCGAGCGUUAAUCGGAUUUACUGGGCGUAAAGCGUGCGCAGGCGGCUCUAUAAGACAGAUGUGAAAUCCCCGGGCUUAACCUGGGAACUGCGUUUGUGACUGUAGGGCUUGAGUGCGGCAGAGGGAGGUGGAAUUCCGCGUGUAGCAGUGAAAUGCGUAGAGAUGCGGAGGAACACCGAUGGCGAAGGCAGCCUCCUGGGAUGACACUGACGCUCUUGCACGAAAGCGUGGGGAGCAAACAG